CCUACGGGCGGCUGCAGUGAGGAAUAUUGGUCAAUGGACGAGAGUCUGAACCAGCCAAGUAGCGUGAAGGAUGACUGCCCUAUGGGUUGUAAACUUCUUUUAUAUGGGAAUAAAACGUUCCACGUGUGGGAUUUUGUAUGUACCAUAUGAAUAAGGAUCGGCUAACUCCGUGCCAGCAGCCGCGGUAAUACGGAGGAUCCGAGCGUUAUCCGGAUUUAUUGGGUUUAAAGGGAGCGUAGGUGGAUUGUUAAGUCAGUUGUGAAAGUUUGUGGCUCAACCGUAAAAUUGCAGUUGAAACUGGCAGUCUUGAGUACAGUAGAGGUGGGCGGAAUUCGUGGUGUAGCGGUGAAAUGCUUAGAUAUCACGAAGAACUCCGAUUGCGAAGGCAGUUCACUGGACUGCAACUGACACUGAGGCUCGAAAGUGUGGGUAUCAAACAGGAUUAGAUACCCCAGUAGUC
rnacentral:rRNA from 1 species